UGGGGAAUAUUGGACAAUGGGCGCAAGCCUGAUCCAGCCAUGCCGCGUGAAUGAAGAAGGCCUUAGGGUUGUAAAGUUCUUUCAGUGGUGACGAUGAUGACGGUAACCACAGAAGAAGCCCCGGCUAACUCCGUGCCAGCAGCCGCGGUAAUACGGAGGGGGCAAGCGUUGUUCGGAAUUACUGGGCGUAAAGGGCGCGCAGGCGGCGUCGCUAGUCAGGUGUGAAAUCCCCAGGCUCAACCUGGGAACUGCACUUGAUACUGCGAUGCUAGAGUUCGGAAGAGGGUAGUGGAAUUCCCAGUGUAGAGGUGAAAUUCGUAGAUAUUGGGAAGAACACCAGUGGCGAAGGCGGCUACCUGGUCCGAUACUGACGCUGAGGCGCGAAAGCGUGGGGAGCAAACAGG
rnacentral:rRNA from 1 species